GGACUACACGGGUAUCUAAUCCCGUUUGCUCCCCUAGCUUUCGUGCCUCAGUGUCAGUAACUGUCCAGAGAUCCGCCUUCGCCACUGGUGUUCCUCUCGAUAUCUACGCAUUUCACUGCUACACCGAGAAUUCCGAUCUCCUCUCCAGUACUCUAGCCGGGUAGUUUCGAAUGCAGUUCUACAGUUAAGCUGUAGGAUUUCACAUUUGACUUACCCAACCACCUACGCACCCUUUACGCCCAGUAAAUCCGAACAACGCUUGGCACCUCUGUAUUACCGCGGCUGCUGGCAC
rnacentral:rRNA from 2 species